rnacentral:rRNA from 1 species
GACGUAGGGCGCGAGCGUUGUCCGGAUUUAUUGGGCGUAAAGAGCUCGUAGGCGGCUUGUCGCGUCGUCCGUGAAAACUUGGGGCUCAACCCCAAGCUUGCGGUCGAUACGGGCAGGCUAGAGUUCGGUAGGGGAGACUGGAAUUCCUGGUGUAGCGGUGAAAUGCGCAGAUAUCAGGAGGAACACCGGUGGCGAAGGCGGGUCUCUGGGCCGAUACUGACGUGAGGAGCGAAAGCGUGGGGAGCGAACAGG